GUGCUUAGAUAUGACUAUUAAGGCUUGCCUUGCCACAACAGCUAGGGCAAACAUUUAAAGACAUGGAAAGAUAGUUGUAUGGCACGUGAUAAUACUGCACAUUAUUAUGUGCAGUAAAACAUUGUAGGACAAGAGAAAUAAGCUAAGCCUACAGUUGCUAAAUUCAGGGCCGUCUUUAGUAAUGAUUGGACCCUGGGCAAGCAUUUGCUAGGGCCCCCAUAGACUGUGCCCCCCCACUCCCUUACAUGCAAUCACACCCUCCACCCCAACGCACUAGCGGAACUAAAGUAUAAAGAUCCCUGGUGCAAGAAUUUUAUUUGGCCCUCAAUUGCAAGGUUGGACAAAAAGGUAGAACCUUAUCUGUCGUGCAACUCCAACAAUGCAUUGACGGGUGAGGUUCUACCAAUUUUCCAUGCUUGCAUGGUUGUAUUUUGCACUGUUUGAAUGUAAGCAUGUUUUUGUAUGAAGUACGUCUGUCUCAAUGUGUUUGUA